CUCCCAGUGAUGAGCCACGCCCCGCCUCCCCCCUCCGGCCGAUGAGCCAGGCCCCGGCCUCACAACUCCUGCCGUCACGCCGCGCCCCUGCCUCACAACUCCCGCCGUCACGCCGCGCGCUGACCUGCCGCCGCAGCAAUCGCCACAAACAAGAAGCCAUUGUCACCCCAUCCCCAGUCUCCACAGCCACCAGCCGCUGUCGCGCUCGACCUCCAACCACCGCCUCCACGCCCGUCAGCCGCCGUUGUGAACCACCUCCAGUUGCGGCCUCCAAUACCCGCUGGUGCGGCGACCUCCCAGCCCCAAGUAUAUGUCAUGUGGGGCGCUGCGUACAGGCGCGGGUCGCGCGCCCAGGAGCAGCAGCCGAUGGCCACAGCUGGCGAGGCAUGAUCGGGGCAAGGAGUCCUGAUCCUACGUUGGUUCCUAGAGUCCAGGAGUAGUUAGUUUCCUAGUUUGUUAGAAGCCCAUAAGGCCUUUAUAUAUCCUGUAAUCUGCACCCUUUGACGCAAGAAAUAAAUCAUUAUCUCCUA